rnacentral:lncRNA from 1 species
CACUAUAAUGACAUUUUUGCCCCAUACCUAUUCACAUGUGUUUCAUUUUUUUUUUUCUUGCAGCUGCACACACCGUAGGAUUCUCCCACUGCAGUAAGUUUGCGAACCGGAUAUACAAUUUCAGCCGCGAAAACCCGGUGGACCCCACGCUUGACAAGGCCUACGCGGCCCAGUUGCAGUCCAUGUGCCCGAAGAACGUGGACCCGAGAAUAGCCAUCAACAUGGACCCAAACACGCCCAACACAUUCGACAACGUCUACUUCCAGAACCUCCAGCAAGGCAAGGGCCUCUUCACAUCGGACCAAGUCCUCUUCACGGACUCAAGGUCCAAGCCCACUGUCGACGCUUGGGCCGGAAACUCGCCGGCUUUCCAAAAGGCCUUCAUCACGGCCAUAACCAAACUGGGCCGGGUCGGAGUCAAGACCGGUGCCAACGGGAACAUCCGUACUGACUGUUCGGCUUUUAAUUGAUUCAAGGAUUGAAGCCAGUGAUUUUUACACUCUUAUUUUCUGCAAUUACAUUCUUUUUUUUGUUUUUAUUAUAGUGAAUUUACUAAAAUACGGACUCUUACUCAAAUAUUUUUACUAAAUUGAAGGAUAUUUGAGUAAAUCCAUCUUAAAAAGACAAAAAAUAUAUAUAAUUGAAGAAAAAAGAUAGUGUGAAAAUCACUGGCGAAAUUUGAAAAAUCAAAAUUUAAUUGUGGUUUUAUGGUUUGUGUGAGAAGAGGAAAUAAUUGGGAGUGUGUUUGUAUAUGUGGUAGUGAUAAGUGUUUUAGUGAUAAGCGUUUUGUCAUGAAACAUGAUCUCAUAAUAAUAUGACUCUCAAGGAAGCUUGAGAUUUUAUUUUAAUUUUGCAGAAAUGAUUUUUCAAUUCACCAAGAAUAUUUUCUAAAUUGUAUUAUGAUAAAUUUCCCAAAAGUGUCCCAACAAUUUCCUCAAUUUUAAGAAACCAAGGGAACCAGUUUAGGACAUAAGUGCAUUUUUACUUGAAGUUUCUGGUAACAAGUACUGAUAAAAGAGCUGGACAACAAGUUGCUCAAACUUUAUUUAAAAAAUCUAACAAAUUUUAAAAAUACGUUCGAGCUUAGUUUGUUUAUUAGGUGAAACGAUCUCAAAUGAGUUUUAAUUAAACGAUUGCAAGCCGGCUCGAGUUGCUUGAAUUUUUUAAAUAUUAUAAGUUAUCGAGUCGAGUAGUAGAUUGUCCAAGUUUGAUUUAAAAAUUUAACAUGCUUAAAAAUAUGUUCAAAUUUAGUUUGUUUAUGUAACAAAUAAAUCUUGAACAAAACUUUUAACAAGCUGAACAUAAACUUUUACCGAAUAGUUGCUCGUUUAUCAACCUUAGGUAGGUAUGAGAUAAAUUUUUUUUCCAGUCUGUUUUGAUUAAAAGAAUCAUAAAAAUAAAAAAAAUAAUUUUUCCUUACAAAAAUAACUAAAAUUUAAAAUAAUGCAAAUAGAGUUUAAUGACUUUUGUUAGAACUUGUGCCUUUUAACAUUUCCAUUCCUCAAAUCAAACUCAAACAAUUAUCUCCUCACAGAUGUUAAACAACCUAUCCUUUUCCAAUGGCUGACUCAAAUGCGUCACCAUCCACCCACUAUUUAUUAUUAUCAAUAAUGAGUUUUAGAACUAAAAAAAGGAGGAAACAAAUCUCUUUUUACUCCCACAAAUUCCAAAGUUCAGGAUAGAGGAUAUACCUGAUCUAUAUGCCUCCGGUACCUGAAACGUGAAUCAUUACAGUAUAAAGAACAAGAAUGACUUUUGUUAGAACUUGCGCCUUUUAACAUUUCCAUUCCUCAAAUCAAACUCAAACAAUUAUCUCCUCACAGAUGUUAAACAACCUAUCCUUUUCCAAUGGCUGACUCAAAUGCGUCACCAUCCACCCACUAUUUAUUAUCAUCAAUAGUGAGUUUUAGAACUAAAAAAAGAGGAAACAAAUCUAUCCAAAAUUCAGGAUAGAGGAUAUACUUUAUCUAUCUGCCUCUGGUACCUGAAACGUGAAUCGUAGCAGUAUAAAGAACAAGAAUGUAAACUGAAUACGUCAGAUGCUAUAAAUUCUGGUCCGAUAGGUAGGUUUCUAGAUUACGAUUUUAGUAUAUAAUUCAUUCGAGUUAUAAGCAUCUAAUAAAAAGGGCAUUAUUCUUCAAAUAAUUCAUGUAAAACACCUUUAUAGGACCAUUACGAUUUAUUUUUUUGUUUUUAAAAGUUUGAACUUUCAAAUCUCAAUUCUCCAUAGAUUUUUCAAAUGGUGGGAAAACGAACAGGAUAAACAUCAAGAAUCAAUUAGUAUCGCUAAAUUAUCUUGUUAGAACAAAAGUGUACAAACACAGCUGUGUCCUCUAGUUGAUUCUAGGAAGUUGCGCAUCUUUGGUCCCCUUGCACGAGUUCUGACAUUUUUAGGUAAAUCCAAGGCUUGAUGACUCAACAUCUAUUCAUCCGGUGAGCGAGUCCCCUUCCAUCUAAAUUGUAGCGAUGGCUACGUGCUGUUUGUUAUGCUUAGAGAACCCUACACCAGUCAAGAUAUAGCAGCAUCGAUCCAUCGCUUUCCCUCUUAUGUAAAUAGAAAACAACAAUCCAUCCAUUUGUUUGGAAAAUUGAGUCAGAUGAUGCUGAAUGUAAAUUGACAUCUAUGAUUGAACAUCCAUGGAAUGGAGACAUUUACCAACUCCUUGUGUAUUUGACAACGAACUCCAAAGUUGAAGACCCAGAAAAUGAUGUUGGAAAAAUAAUAAUUUUAAUUAAAAAUAAAAAAUAUAAAUUUAUAAUUAUAAAAUCAAAAACUAAAAAAUGAAAUACAAACAGAAUUAUAGCCGUUUGUAGGACGAAAUCUCGACGAACUAAAAUUAAAACAAAAAUAAUUAAAAGGGUCAUUAAUUAAAAUAAUUAUUAUUACUGUUAAUUUAAAUUUUAAACUAAAAUAUCUUUCUUAUUCUUCUCUGAAGAAUUUCAAAGCUUGAAGAGAAAAUAAUAAGACUUCUCCUAUUUAUAGAAGAGUUCAAAUAAGCAAUUGGGACAAAUACUCUCAUAAGGAGUUUACUUUAGCAAUAUGAGAUAGACUUUUCUUACAUAGAGUGAGUCACUCCCAUUAGAAACUUUCCUAAUCAAGUGAGACAAACAUCUCUUAUAUAUAAGGAAUAUCUCCCACUAAAAAUUUGACUUAUUAAUGUGGGACAAAAUUUACACACUCACAUAAAUCCCAUUCAAGCUUAAAAAUUCUCAUUCAAACUUAAAAAAUUAUUAAUAUAAAUAAUAUUCUUAUUAAUUAUUAAUAAAUAUACUAUAACACUCGGUUUACAAUGAUGUCGUAUGACAAAAGGUUUUGGUUUUCCUUUAGUAGCACUGACCUCCACCCUUAUCAGACGAAUCAUUUACAGUCGUUACGUCCAUCAGAACCGAAAGAGUUUGGUAGCGUUUACCGAAGUCGCUUCAGUAGCUGAGUAAAACAUCAUCCAAUCCAACGUUGCUUAAACUUUAAACAAAAAAUGUCGUUUGACUCUUAAGGGUUUGUUUGGUAAUUAUUUUUUUUAUAUUUAAUUUUUGUUUUUGAGGAUAAAUAUAAAUAUAAAUUUAUUUGUGUUGCUACUUAUAAUUGAAAAUAAAUCAAAAUUAUUUUUACUAUUUCUUAAAAUAGUGAAAACACCAAAACGUAGGUUUUCAUUUGUUUAGAAAAUUAUUUUCGACUAAGGCACUAUUCACGCGUGCCAUGUCUCCACCGCCGCCAUCACCACCUCCUCCUUCACGAUCUCCGUCUCCACCACCACCACCACCACCACUACCAUAUUUUUAUUUUUAAAUAAUUUUAAAAAAUGUGAACACAAAUAUAUUUUUAAUUUUUAUUUUACAAAAAAAUAUAUAAAACUUAACAACUAUAAAACAAACAUAAAAAAUAAAAAAAAAAUGAUUGUGUUACCAAACAUCCCCUCAGUGUCUAAGACAGAAAUUUACAUGAUAUAAGAUGAUGAAAGGCACAAGAAAAUGACAUGAGAGAUGCGAAUAUUCGCAAGCAGAACAUCAAUAAGGCAAUUUAAGUGAAUGAAAUUAUUGCAGGUUGAAAUUUAACCCGGGAAACCAGUACAAAGGAACUAAAAUAAAAAGAAUAAAAUAAAGAAAAUUUAUUUUUACACUCCAUUUUUUAAUAUCUACACUCUAAAAUAGGGGUGUAAAAAUCAACACCAUAAUGGUAUUAAUUUCUACACUCCUAUUUUGGAGUGUAGAUAUUAAUUUUCGGAGUGUAGAAAUCAUUUCCCUAAAAGGGUAAAUUUCAUUAACCUCCACUAGUUUUUUGACAACAGUUACUUUUUAUGUGGUUUUAAAAAUAAUACUAACAUUCAUUACUUUUAAAAUUAAUGUUAAGAUUUUUCUCAAAAUCUAUUUUUUAUGUAAAAAUAACAAGAUUGCCCUUUAAUUUAGGGCUUUCAAACUUCUUCUUUCAAUGUAUCAAUUAAAAUAAUAAUUAUAUAUAUUUUAAAAAAAAAAGAAUUCAUAACAAAGUUUGUUUUUAAAGUAUUUUUAGAUUUGGAACAUUUAAAAUAUAAAAUAUAUAAAUUUAAAUUUUUUAAAAAGAUUUAUUGAUAGCAAAGUUUGUAGUAUUUAAGUACAUUUUUAUUAGAAGUAUUUAAAAAUUAAAAUAUUUAAAUUAAUUUAUUUUUAAAAAAAAUUCUUAUUAAUAAAAAAAUAAAAAUGAACUAAUAAGUAAAUAGUUUUUUAACCCAAAAGAAAAUAAUAUUUAUUUUAAUGGGUUUAUUGAGAAAAAAAUUGAAAGCCUAAAUCAAAUGAUAAAUUUGUUAUUUUUGGACAAAAAUGAGCUUUAUGAAAAAAAACUUUAUAUUAAUUUUAAAAGUAAAAUAGGUCAUUGUUCUUUCUAAAAAUUAUAGAGGAUGUGAUUGUAUUUAUCAAAAGUAUCAAAUGAGAUCAGUGAAAUUUACUCUUUAUUUAAAGAUAAUUAUCUGUAAAUCACUUUAUUUAAAGUCAUAAUCAACGUUAUCAUUUAUAACCGGAAGAAAAAA